GGCUGAUCCAAAUGCAGUGGUGUUUACAACUAAUGGAUCACAACCAUUUACAGAUUUCUUUGCUCCUUCUCCAUUCCCACUGCUCCACUUGAUCAGCCCUAA
ensembl:Y_RNA Y_RNA Y RNA